ACUGACUCUCUUUUCGGACUCAGCCCGCGUGCACCCAGAUGAAGAAAUUGAGGUUCAGAGAAGUUAAACGACCUUCCUAAGAUUACACAGCUUAGUAAGUGGCAGAACCAUGGCUGGAAGCCAGGUCCUUCCUCACAGCAAGUCCUGGCUCAUUCAUUCCUUUUCCAAAGACUUGCUGAGCACCUUCUAGGUGCCAGAUGUGGUGCUGGCUCCUGGGGACAUGGGAAUGAACAGGCCAGGUGUGGCCCUGAACCAUCAAAUAGACAACCACAGAAAUAACAAAGAAUGAUGCUGGAGGCAGAGGAAGAUAAGGGUGGAAAGUGGGCGAUAAAUCAGGAGCUGUUGCAACAGUCCCAGCAAAGGAUAAUGGUGAAUAACAAAGACAAAACUGGGCCCUUCUACACAGUAGCUGGAACACAAAGGAAGAUCAGCCAAGCCUCAACAUAAUCUCAUAAAAAUUCUUCAAAUAUCCCAUUGUUAUGGAUUCAUACAUCAGGAAAGCAGAUGCCAAGAACCUGAAUACCUUCUACUGGUAACAUAUAUUUUGGCGAGCCAGCCCGGAGACAAGACCACUAUGGGCAACUUCCCAUCUAUUCUAUCUGGUGUCACUGUGGACAACUUCCUAUCUAUUCCACCCGAUUCACCGCUUGGCUACAUCCUCCACCAUUGGGAUGAAUUUGACCCUGACAACCUAAAGAAAACGUGUAUGAUUUUUUUACUG
rnacentral:lncRNA from 1 species